UUUGUUCCAUCACUUAAAGCAUUUAUUGAAACCAUGGGUUUCCAAAGUCAUGAAAUAACAAUACUUUCUCUCGAUAGCAUGAGCAUUAAGGUAAAUUGAUGAGAUAAAUGAGAGGCACUCCCAACGUUUCUUACAGGAAAGAGGAACAGCUGUUAUUUCACUGAGAGACCACAAAGAGAAAAAAAAAAAAACAGUUGGCCUGCAUUUUCUCCUGCAAGUCAGUCUCUCAGACUUCACUUGGGAUUUGUUCUUUCCAGGAACCGAAAGAAAAUGGGCUGUCACCUCUACACUCAAAUUGGACAGCAUUCCCCCAGCAGGUUUAGCUGUUAGCACGCAGAGGGACUGCCGUGCCUGCGCUCACUCCUCAUCACGCCUUACUCCCCUGCAAAACAUCUUCCUGGCAUCUGCAGGCCACGUGGUUCUGCCCUGCUUGCCCCUAGUUUCAGCACACACCCCUUUCAGGCUGCAAGACAAGGCGCGCUAUGAACACAAGGCUGCCCCUCUUUGGUACAAAGUAUUUUUCUUCCUAUCUCAGAUCUUAGGUCUUCUAAGAGGGCUGGUUGAGCAUUCUGCCCAAGAGAAUCGCCAAUGAUUUAUUGUUGCGGAUAGUGCCCUUUAUGGAUUUCCACAUAAUUUAAAGACCUGCAGCAUGAAAUGACCUCUGAGACCAUUUAGUGACAUUUCUUCAUUUUAAAAAUAACAAAAUUAUCACCCAAAGUCCACAGUUUACAUUAGGGUUCACUCUUGGUGUUGUACGUUCUAAAAAUUUGGACAAAUGUUUAAAAACACGUAUUCACUAUUACAGUAUCAUAUGCAGUAUUUUCACUGCCCUGAAAAUCCUCUGUUCCGCCUAUUUAGCCCUCCUUACCCCCUUAACCCUGACAAACAAUGACCUUUUACUGUCUCCACAGUUUGGGUGAUAAUAAUGUAUCAAUGCAGGUUCAUCACUUUUAACAAAUGUACCACUCAAGGGGGAUGUUGGCAAUGGGGGAGGCUGUGCGUGUGUGGGGCCAGGGGACAUAUGGGAAAUCUCUGCACCUUCCUCUCAAUUGUACUGUGAACCUACAACUGAGGUAAAAAACUCUUUGUAGAGAGGACACAGUGCUAACAUUUUUUUCAGAAUACAGUUUGAGACUAGAAAACAGUAUAAAGCAAAAAUAAAUAUAGCUUCUACAAUGAAGCAGCUGCUAGAAUCUAUCGAAUAUUGCAGGUUUAAGAGUUCUGGUAGGGCACAAACUAUGUAUCACUAAGAUAUAAAAACCUUUUUUCCUUUACUUUAGAAAACAUUAUCAAUCGUAUUGUCAUUUUUCAUUGUUCUGAAACUGUUAAUAACCAUUUAGGUUAAGAAUAAUAAUAAUAAUAAUCGGUAAUCAUUUGCUUUAAAAAUAGAAAAUCAUAUAAAAUAUAUAAAGUAUAUAAAGAACAGCUUGGUCCUAGCUCAGGGGUACUCAGUGGCAGUCAUUCUGGAAGGUUAUAAGGCCAUCGCUUAUGAGGAGGGCAGAAGGCACAGAUUAAAUAAUAAACCUGGAAAAGGAUAUCUAUUAUAAUAAAGUCCGGUUUUAGAUUUUAAUCACGUAGAAGCAAGGCAAAAACAUUACAGUCAGGUAAAUAGUUAUUGCCUCUAGUCCCUGCUGCCUCACGACCAAGAAUUACAUUAAAUUGCACUACAGCAAAGACUAGACAAAAAGUACUUUGCAAGUUUCCAACAGUCAAUUGUUUGAUUCAGGAUUUAAAGAGAUAAAAUGAAUGUUAACACAUUGAACAAAGAUGGUUAAGCUGUUUUUUCCUAGCAUAUAUACAAUGUAUAACAGUGUAUUAUUAGAACCAGAAAGUUUUAGGUCAAAAAACGCUUAUUUUUUUAAAGUAUCUUUUGCUCCACUUUACAGGUUCCUGUGAAUUGUAUUUCCCCUAAACAUGAACACAACAUCUGAUCUGUUCAUUUAUUUUACUUUAUAAGCAAUUGAUAGAAAGGUAAACAAAUGUAAAUAUAUAUAUACCCAAGAAGUGGCUAUCCUACACAUGACAGCCCAGAAUUUGGUAACUGUAUACGUUUUCUGGCUAUUUCAAUAAUUCAUAAAAACAAUUAUGGAGAAGCCAUAUUUUUUAUUUAUUCUAAUUAAAGCGUAUUAAUUAUAAUAUAUUUUUGAAAGUUAGUUAUCUUUAAAAUCUUCAUUUUUUUAAUUCAGAUAAUACCCAGGCUCAACCUUUUAAUAGGAAUGUUGGUUUUUUAGGUCUUGGCCAUCUUUUCUUUAUUCACUUUAAAGAUCAAACACAGAACAAUGAGGAAUGUAGGUCUAUUAAAAAACAUAUAAAUACUUGUAGUGAUGGCUUCAAUCAUUUGGCCCUCAAAAACAUUGCUUAACAAAUCAAGUUCAGCUCAAUUGUGUGUAACUGGAAUUACGCCCAAGGCUGGAAUAUUUCACUCUGCCUUUGGCUGCAGGUUAUACUUCUGUGGCUGGAAAAAACAUUCUUCAAUAGCACUGACUAGUUCAUUUAGUUCUUUCUUCAGCUGCUCAGGAUCACUGGAAAAUAAGGGGAAGAAAAUUCCAGAUGAGUGGAUUAUUCCAAAGCAUAUUUUAACUCCCCACAUUGAUCAAGUAACACUAAAAUUUAACCUUAAGAGGAGGGCUAAAUCAGACAAAACAGAACUCCAGCGACUUCAGCAGGGGAACGCAUCCGUUAACUGGGACAAAAACUCCCGUGAGACAAUAUCCAUUAUUUUCCCCAAAAGUUUUCCCCAAGUUUCUACUAUAAACUAAAUUAUCCCUUUGCACUUUUCAUAAGAAUUUUAAAGAAACGCAACGUUUGGCCUAGCACCCAUACAAGAGCUACAACGUUGGUACUUAGUGCAGAGAAAACUUUCAGGACUCCCGCUGUUACUACAUCUUGCUGAACUUUUACAAACGACGUCUCUAAGUCUCCGGUCUCCCAGGAUACGAAUGUUCCUGAUCUUGUCUGCCCUCAACUACUGGAAGCCAAGCUGCAGCCUCAUCUGAAAGGCUUCCUAGAAUGGACAGAGACCGGGAGCUGCCUACUGGGCCCGCUAGUCACACCCCUGAAACUCACAGGCCUCGGGUUUAUCUUUUUUAUUCUACCUCCGGAACAAAAGGGUCACAACUAAAGUAUAAACAAGAACCUGGGGAACCAGAUCCCUUUAAGGAAAUCAAGUUUUCAAGCACGUGGAAAAUACUAAUUUAUAUGCAAACAAUUAGAAGGUUGAUAAUAGAUAAAACAUAAUUGUAAUUAGACAGGCUUCCAGCAGCUUCUAUGUUGGGCUACUAACAGAAUGUGAAUUACUCUAAGUACUUAAAGACAAAAAAGCUGAAUUAAAAAAACUAAAUCCUUCAAUUCCAACUUUCAUUACUUCAUACUUGACCAUCUUUAAUACAUGCAAACUUUAUUUUAAUGAAAAUUGCAAUCCUUGCAAUUAGUUAAGAUCAUUUUUACAUUGUAAUAGCUAGCCAGUACAACUAAAACAAUCCAUUUUAUUACAGACAUUAAUUCUGGCUCUUCUACUUACUAGCUGUGUGCCCUUGGGCAAAUAGCCUCUUGAAGGCCCAGAUUCCUCAUUUAUAAAAUUGGGAUAAAGACUUUAUCUUCUCAAGAGAGUUGUACAGAUUGAGAUAAAUUAUAUAAAGCAAUUAGCACAGAACCUGGCCCAAAAACCUCAAUAAAUGUAGCUACCAUUAUAAUUAUUUUUAUCCCCACUGGUAACAUAUAAGGUAAUUAUGCUUCAUAAGCACAUAUGAAUCACACAGUUCUUUUUUUCCUUCCCCAUAAAUGUGCUUUGAUGAAAAUAACAGUUCUCAGGAAGGCACAUAACUAUUGUUUUGUUUUGUUUUUACAAUAUACCUAAAACUAAAACUCAUCAGUGAAUUUUCUAUACAUCUACGUAUGUGUGUACAUAUAUCUCCUACCAGUUUGUUUCUCUGUUAGAACUCUGUCUAAUUAUUAUCUAAACCUUGAGAUCGUAAAAGAAUGUCCUUGUUCUUAGGAGAUGCAUACUGAGGUCCAUGGCUUUCUUUCAAAUGGCUCAGAAGAAAAAAAAAAACCCAAAUAAAAUAUACAUGGAGAGAGAGAGCAAAAAUCACAAGAUACUUCUAAGUCUAGGCUGGGGUAGGCAAACUACAGAUUGUGGCCUGUUUUUGCAAAUAAAGUUUUAUUAGAACAUAGCCACACCCACUCCUUUAUAUAUACGGCUGUUUUCCCUGCUAUAACAACAGAGCUGAGGAGUUGCAACACAGAUCAUACGAUCUGUAAACCCUAAAAUAUUUACUACGUGGCUCUUUACUGAAAGUUUGCCAAUCCCUGGUCCAAGUAAAGGGUAUGUGGGUAUUUGCUUCGCUAUUAUUUCAACAUUUCUGUAGGUUUGAAAUUUUUCAAAAUAAAAAGUUGGAGAAAACUAAAGACAUUUACCCCAACAAAAAUAUUUUUUAAAAGCAAGACUUAUACUUGAAAGGAUUUUCCAUUCUAAAGGAUUAGUAAGUUGUGGAAUUCUAUGAAUCAAUGAUGUUCAUGAUAUAAAAUAUAUUAAUAAUAUUUAAGGUUAUCCGAAAAUAAGGAAAGCUCAGCCAGGGCUUUAUUGCCGCUGUGCGUUAGGUGUGCUGACUUGCCUGAGCACAGACAGCAGAUCCACUGACUGGCCUGCUACCCAAGGUCCCAUUUAAUAAAUGCAAGCAGCAUUUCAGUGAAUAUAAUAAAAGGACAAUUUUUCAAACUAUUUUCAGCAAUUUAUGAAUUAAUAUUUGAAUUCAAGUCCACUCAAUAAGCCACGUGAAAAAUGUAAAUACUGUAAGUCCUU
rnacentral:lncRNA from 1 species